UACGUAGGGUGCAAGCGUUAAUCGGAAUUACUGGGCGUAAAGCGUGCGCAGGCGGUUUUGUAAGUCUGACGUGAAAUCCCCGGGCUCAACCUGGGAAUUGCGUUGGAGACUGCAAGGCUAGAAUCUGGCGGAGGGGGGUAGAAUUCCACGUGUAGCAGUGAAAUGCGUAGAGAUGUGGAGGAACACCGAUGGCGAAGGCAGCCCCCUGGGUCAAGAUUGACGCUCAUGCACGAAAGCGUGGGGAGCAAACAGG
rnacentral:rRNA from 1 species